ACGGAAUUCCCGUUCUCCAUCAGCCUCUUUAAAUGGCGGUAGAUCCAUUUUCUUGAUGGCAACAACCUCCAGAUGGAAAAGGAGAAAAAAAUUAAAUAGUUCCUUCCUACCUCGCCUGUUUUAAGAAUACCCCUGUAAACUCGACCAAAGCCUCCUUUGCCAAGCAGAUUCUCAUCACUGAAGGAACAUGUGGCCUCUUCCAUUUCUUUGAGGGUGAAAACUGAUGAGCCAUGUCUCCGUUUCCUUGGCUGAGGCUGUUGGUCUUCAAUUUUCCAGAACUCGGCUGGUCUGUAGACCCCUGAAAGAAGCAAAAAAGGGAACAUACUUUUACGCCAUCGAGUGAAGAUGAUGGAGAAAAGAAACAUACACGGAUCCGUAUCAUAGGACUUGCUUCUUCGUCGCUUGUUCCAGGCUGAAACCAGAUGAAAGGGCAUUUUCCCAACAGAAAUCCUAGGUUUUUACGUCUAGAUGGUGCAAAAGAGCAUCCGAAUCCAAGAGAAAAACCUUCUAGGACAGAAGGGUGUGUAGGAAAAGCAUCUGGUGGUCGCUAGGGCAGAUGGGUAUGUCUAAAGUUUUGAGCUUUUUAUUCAUGUCUGUACUGGUGGAUGCAUAACUGCUUCUCAAGAAACGGAGAAGAUUGUAUGGUAAAGGUGAGAGAUAUAGCAAGUGUUUGGAAUCUCUUCGUAUUCGUAUUCGUAUUGAAUUCUGAAAUACUCGACAGCAGUCCUCCAACUACCGAAGUCGUAGAGAGAGAGAGGGUAGUGUAGGUUAUAUGUAUGUACGUGAAGUGAAGCAAAAGCAAACAUUUGAUGGUUCA